rnacentral:misc_RNA from 1 species
GUAGACGGGUAAGGGGUGUCACAAUGUGUAACUUCAAAUUGUAUUACAAAAGAGAUAUUAAAAAUGGAUGGAGGUAUUGUACCAAACAGAAGAUUAACUCCAACUGCAAAAGUUUUUAAGCUUGUUAAUCUGCCCAUUGACUCAGGAAUAUUUCCCACCAAGUUGUUGAGUGUCACAAGAAAGAUGGUGAGUUAAGACAGUUUGCCCAAGGAAGCUGGGAUUUCUCCUCUGAGAUUGUUCACUCGAAGUUGAAGCUCCUCAAGCUUUAAUAAAGAACCAAGUUCUGAUGGUAUGUGUCCUGAUAAAUUAUUUCUUUGUAAUCCAAUCCCCCAACUUCUUGUGGAACCUCACCACGGAAACUAUUAUUCUGAAGGCUGAUGAACCUGAGAAAACUGAGGUUCCCAAUGGAUGGUGACAUGGAUCCAAACAAAUUCUGCCCAUCUAAGACAAGGGAUGUGACUUUCUAAUGCCUGAAACUUAAACUUGAGCAAAGCAAGUCUAUCAGUCUCAUUUUCUGAAGCAUCAGCUUGUAGCCACUGCAAGCUCAUAGUGCAAAGAAGAAAGAUGAGAGAAAGAGAACAUAAACUGAUAUGAUCAUACAACUUCAUUUGGUACAGACUAUGACUGUGGAGAAUGAGAGAGGGAGAUUUUAG